AUAAGAAUGAGGAUAAUCUACUUAUCAUGAUUGUGAAGGUGAUUUCAGCAGAGAGAGGUUCAUUUAUUGCACUCCAGAUGUGUUGAUCCCUGAGAUUUUCCCACAUGUGGGAAACCCGACUGCAUAAUUUGA
rnacentral:snRNA from 1 species